rnacentral:lncRNA from 1 species
UCUGUUGCAUAUGCUUGUUCAUAUGCUUCUUAUGUCCAAUCUAUCCAAUCACAAAUCAUAUCUACAGUGGACCAUACAAGCAAGAUAAAUUCCAACUCUUCAAUUUUAUUGCUUUAUUAUUGUCGUUAGAUUUAAUUCCUACUCAUAAUUGAGUCGAAAUAAAUUUAUUGUAAGUUGUUGCCUCCAUGGACAUUGUUACAAGUUAUC